rfam:Danio rerio chromosome 2 genomic contig CTG124, GRCz11 reference primary assembly.
UGCGGCAGCUAGCUCUCUGCAUCUCUCACAUGGUCGCCCACUGAAGCUAAGCAGGGCUGCGCCCGGUCAGUACCUGGAUGGGAGACCACAUGGGAAAGCUAGGUUGCUGCCGGAA